rnacentral:rRNA from 1 species
AUGCAGAGGCGGAGGCCAGGAUUCCACCAUGUGGAAGAGACAGAGAACAAUGUAGUGCGCAGCCUGUUCUGGACAGAUUCCUUGUGUAAGAUGAAUUAUGAUCUAUAUGGAGAUUUCGUGUCUUUUGACACCACAUUCUCUACAAAUAUAUAUGGCUUGCCAUUUGCACCAAUUAUAGGUGUCGACAACCACGGGUCGACCAUCCUGUUUGGAGUAGGCCUUUUGAAGGAUGAGAAAAUAGGGUCAUUCAAGUGGCUCCUAAGCACGUUUGUCGAGGCAAUGGGAGGUAAAGAGCCGAAAUACAUAAUAACAGACCAGGACCAGGCGAUGAAGACUGCAAUAAAGGAAGCUCUUCCGAGGACGAGGCACAGGUUCUGCUGGUGGCAUAUUAGGAAGAACCUGAAGGAA